AGAGUUUGAUCCUGGCUCAGGAUGACGCUGGCGGCGUGCUUACACAUGCAAGUCGAGCGAAGCGAUUAAGGAAGUUCGGACGGAAUUAAAAUUGACUAGCGGCGGACGGGGAGUAACGCGUGGGUAACCUGCCUCAUACAGGGGGAUAACAGUAGAAAUGACUGCUAAUACCGCAUAAGCGCACAGUGCUGCAUAGCACAGUGUGAAAAACUCCGGUGGUAUGAGAUGGACCCGCGUCUGAUUAGGUAGUUGGUGAGGUAAUGGCUCACCAAGCCGACGAUCAGUAGCCGACCUGAGAGGGUGACCGGCCACAUUGGGACUGAGACACGGCCAAACUCCUACGGGAGGCAGCAGUGGGGAAUAUUGGACAAUGGGGGAAACCCUGAUCCAGCGACGCCGCGUGAGUGAAGAAGUGUUUCGGCAUGUAAAGCUCUAUCAGCAGGGAAGAAAAUGACGGUACCUGACUAAGAAGCCCCGGCUAACUACGUGCCAGCAGCCGCGGUAAUACGUAGGGGGCAAGCGUUAUCCGGAUUUACUGGGUGUAAAGGGAGCGUAGACGGUUCUGCAAGUCUGGAGUGAAAGCCCGGGGCUCAACCCCGGGACUGCUUUGGAAACUGUGGAACUAGAGUGCAGGAGAGGUAAGUGGAAUUCCUAGUGUAGCGGUGAAAUGCGUAGAUAUUAGGAGGAACACCAGUGGCGAAGGCGGCUUACUGGACUGUAACUGACGUUGAGGCUCGAAAGCGUGGGAGCAAACAGGAUUAGAUACCCUGGUAGUCACGCCGUAACGAUGAAUACUAGGUGUUGGGGAGCAAAGCUCUUCGGUGCCGCCGCUAACGCAAUAAGUAUUCCACCUGGGGAGUACGUUCGCAAGAAUGAAACUCAAAGGAAUUGACGGGGACCCGCACAAGCGGUGGAGCAUGUGGUUUAAUUCGAAGCAACGCGAAGAACCUUACCAAGUCUUGACAUCGGAAUGACCGUCCCGUAACGGGGAGCUUCCCUUCGGGGCAUUCCAGACAGGUGGUGCAUGGUUGUCGUCAGCUCGUGUCGUGAGAUGUUGGGUUGCGUCCCGCACGAGCGCACCCUUAUACUUAGUAGCCAGCAGUUCGGCUGGGCACUCUGGGGAGACUGCCAGGGAUAACCUGGAGGAAGGUGGGGAUGACGUCAAAUCAUCAUGCCCCUUAUGAUUUGGGCUACACACGUGCUACAAUGGCGUAAACAAAGGGAAGCGAAGGAGUGAUCUGGAGCAAAUCUCAAAAAUAACGUCUCAGUUCGGAUUGUAGUCUGCAACUCGACUACAUGAAGCUGGAAUCGCUAGUAAUCGCGGAUCAGAAUGCCGCGGUGAAUACGUUCCCGGGUCUUGUACACACCGCCCGUCACACCAUGGGAGUUGGUAACGCCCGAAGUCAGUGACCCAACCGUAAGGAGGGAGCUGCCGAAGGCGGGACUGAUAACUGGGGUGAAGUCGUAACAAGGUAACC
rnacentral:rRNA from 1 species